rnacentral:rRNA from 1 species
AUUGAACGCUGGCGGCAGGCCUAACACAUGCAAGUCGAACGAGUGGCGGACGGGUGAGUAAUGUCUGGGAAACUGCCCGAUGGAGGGGGAUACCUACUGGAAACGGUCGCUAAUACCGCAUACCAUCGGAUGUGCCCAGAUGGGCUUAGCUUGUAGGUGAGGUAACGGCUCACCUAGGCGACGAUCCCUAGCUGGUCUGAGAGGAUGACCAGCCACACGGGAACUGAGACACGGUCCAGACUCCUACGGGAGGCAUCAGUGGGGAAUAUUGGACAAUGGGAGAAAGCCUGAUCCAGCCAAGCCGCGUGUGUGAAGAAGGUCUUCGGAUUGUAAAGCACGUUAAGUUGGGAGGCGUUACCAACAGAAUAAGCACCGGCUAACGUCGUGCCAGCAGCCGCGGUAAUAC